AUUGCCUCAGUAACGGCGAGUGAAGCGGCAAGAGCUCAAAUUUGAAAGCUGGCUCCUUCGGGGUCCGCAUUGUAAUUUGCAGAGGAUGCUUCGGGAGCGGCCCCCAUCUAAGUGCCCUGGAACGGGCCGUCAUAGAGGGUGAGAAUCCCGUCUGGGAUGGGGUGCCCGCGCCCGUGUGAAGCUCCUUCGACGAGUCGAGUUGUUUGGGAAUGCAGCUCUAAAUGGGUGGUAAAUUUCAUCUAAAGCUAAAUACUGGCCGGAGACCGAUAGCGCACAAGUAGAGUGAUCGAAAGAUGAAAAGCACUUUGAAAAGAGAGUUAAACAGCACGUGAAAUUGUUGAAAGGGAAGCGCUUGCGACCAGACUCGCUCGCGGGGUUCAGCCGGCCUUCGGGCCGGUGUACUUCCCCGCGGGCGGGCCAGCGUCGGUUUGGGCGGCCGGUCAAAGGCCCUCGGAAUGUAACGCCCCCCGGGGCGUCUUAUAGCCGAGGGUGCCAUGCGGCCAGCCCGGACCGAGGAACGCGCUUCGGCUCGGACGCUGGCAUAAUGGUCGUAAGCGACCCGUCUUGAAACACGGACCAAGGAGUCUAACAUCUACGCGAGUGUUCGGGUGUCAAACCCGUGCGCGCAGUGAAAGCGAACGGAGGUGGGAACCCCUCGGGGUGCACCAUCGACCGAUCCUGAUGUCUUCGGAUGGAUUUGAGUAAGAGCGUAGCUGUUGGGACCCGAAAGAUGGUGAACUAUGCCUGAAUAGGGCGAAGCCAGAGGAAACUCUGGUGGAGGCUCGCAGCGGUUCUGACGUGCAAAUCGAUCGUCAAAUUUGGGUAUAGGGGCGAAAGACUAAUCGAACCAUCUAGUAGCUGGUUCCUGCCGAAGUU
rnacentral:rRNA from 1 species